rnacentral:lncRNA from 1 species
GUAAUCUUCUCCCCACUUGAUCCUUGUUAACAGCUCAUAUAUAUGGACUACAUCUCAUUCAUGGAGUUUAUGACCAGUGAGCUCUGAAGGCAUGUCUGUUGGAAGCCCUGGAGAUAACUCAGCACCCUGCCACUCAUUCCUGUCAAUCAUAUCCGGAGGUGGAAUGAGAGAUCCUGGACAGAGAUAAUAAUUCAAGGGCAAGAGCACAGCUGGGCAUUGUGGUGCAAGCCUGUAAACCCAGCACUCAGGAGGCCGAGGCAGGAGGAUUGCCAUGAGUUCAAAGCAAUCCUGCACUACACAGUGAGUUUAAAGGCAGCCUGGACUUCAUAGUGAGACCCU